GUGUAGCGGGCCUUAAGCAUUGAGUGUCACCCCCCUGCUCCUCCGCAGCUUCUGCAGUGUUGACACAUGCCGUAUUAGUCUACUGUAUGUCGAUUUUACUGGCAAAAGCUCCAAAAAGCCUAAUGACAGGUAUGUCACUUAUAGAAAAGUGACGGUUUUCUUCCAGACAAAAAACCGUUGAACCCUUUUUUACGGUUGAUCGUGUUGGAGUUAAAUAGUAUAAACGCAAAGCUACGUCAGUCAAUCUUCGAAUUAGAAAACCGUUGCAGCGAAGCACAACAUAUAAUAACAAUUAAAUCAAAGAACGCCAAAAAGAAAAGAAUAGACUAUCAAGUAGGUAGGUAUAGGUGUGUGACAAUGCCAGAGAGCGAGGCAGUUUAUCAACCAACAACAGAAGGUUACACUUACGAGGCUGGUGGGAAUACCAAUGACCCGGGAAAUGGCUUCAGAAGUGGUUUUUCAAGAAUAUUAUUUCGACACAAAGUCAGCACAAGAAAAUGGGCUGAAUGGGUCUUACUAUCAGUUGCAAUCUGUGCAUCCGUUGCAGGCUUAACAACUCUUCUGGUCAAUCUUUUUGCUGCAGAUGCAAAUGAUAUCACAUAUGCAGAUUUUAAACCAGGAAAUUCAACCAGGAGUACCAAGGUUGAAGGGCAUAUGGAAAAUGGAAGUAGAGGAUCGAUUGCCGUUGGAGCUACUAUCACAUUGAUCGGCUUAUUACUUGGAUGCAGCUGGGCAUGGCUCCGCUUUUUCAAGCGUAGCAAAUCACCCAGAGGGGGAAUGAAUAGAGGCAGUGGCCAGAGAAGCGUCGGGUGUCUUGUGGAGGAUGAUGGUGGACAUAGCAUUCGUGAAACAAACAACAAUGAACGGGAAACGUGUAAACAACUUUGGUCGAGAAAUACGUUCACCAAAGAUUUCGAGCUUUUGCUUUUCGGUCGACGGAACAAGGCAACCAUGGUGGGAUACGCCAACCACAGCAUCGGCAGAGUAAAAGGUUAACGCAGCACGGGCGUCUGUGAGGAAACGGAGAUCAAUGCUUACAUCAAUGUAUUCGCGUAUGCCAAACAAUUUGAUUUGAUGGAUGACGAGGACAAAUUUAGCUUCAGCAUAUUCUCAAGUGCGCCUCCCAUUUCACUUGAGCAGAAUUGGAGCCUUCUGAUUAAUCUUCAAAAUCCAGGCGAAUUAAGAUAAGCAUGCGUCGACUCCGCCAUAGUAGAAAAACCUGCCAUGCCGUCAAUAAUUUCAUUAGGACUCUUGGAGCAUUUGAACUUGUAAGAUUUGUCAAGGAUAGCAAAAAAUUGACGCUCACAAGGUUUUCUCCUGCAAAAAAGUAUCAGAACGCGAGGCCAGCUCUGCACAGUUCUACACCGGAGAAUCUUCCAGGCAGAGUCAGAUCUCUCACAACUGAGCAUUUAUUACACAUAACAAAGUACACGACGUUUAUAAAAAAAAGUGAACGGCACAAGCACAACAUUUAUGCAGUUGACGUGUUCGAAUUCGUAAGCCCCCGCUUGCUAGUCAAAAUUCUGGGAGAGUUUUGUGAAUCACCAUGACAAAUGAGCCGAGAUUGUGACAAGUGAAUUCACAAUGGAAUCAAAAAUUGACUGCGGCAUUACAGGACAAAUAAAUGAUGUUCAACUGAUGAACAAUGAGAUGUCUUCAGCUGUUAAAUUAAUGAAAUUAUGCAGAAAUGAAUAUUCGUUUUAAUUUAAUUAAUAAAUGCAUUGUAUGAUUUAUAA
rnacentral:misc_RNA from 1 species